UAGGGAAUAUUGGUUAAUGUGCGAAAGCGCGAACCAGCAAAGCCGCGUGUGCGAUGAAGGCGUUCGGGUCGUAAAGCACUUUUUGCGGGGAAGAGGAAGGACGGUACCUGCAGAAUUAGUCUCGGCUAACUACGUGCCAGCAGCCGCGGUAAAACGUAGGAGACGAGCGUCAUCCGGAUUUACUGGGCGUAAAGCGCGUGCAGGCGGCAUGGCAAGUUGGAUGUGAAAGCUCCCGGCUUAACUGGGAGAGGUCGUUCAAUACGGCGAGGAUUGAGAGUGGUAGAGGGAAGCGGAAUUCCGGGUGUAGGGGGGAAAUGCGUAGAUAUCCAGAGAGACACCAGAGGGGAGAGCGGCUUCCUGG
rnacentral:rRNA from 1 species